AUGAAGGAACCACUACCCCGGUGUAAACUGAAAAGUAAUAACAAUGUGAAGAAAAGUCAGGGUCUUUGCAAGAAGCCUCAUUUAUUCUUGAAUUCCAGGAACCUAGGAACUAAGAAAAGCUUUGUUGUGUGGCUGACAGCUUCAGAUCUGGCAUGCACAAUGAAGGGAAAAUCAAAUGGGACCAUCCAUUAACAGAAAUGGCAACAUCACACUGCAAGAAGGCUUUUGUACAAGAUGGAAGGAAUAGUCACAGCCAUCUGCAAACUGUCUACCAUGUCACCACUCUGGCCACUGUAGAGAAUUGAGGUGAUAGAGGUUGACAGAGCCAGCUGAGCCAGAAUGGACCACUUACUCCUAUGAUUAUGAACAAAUAAACAGUUACCAUUGAGGCA
rnacentral:lncRNA from 1 species